GUGAGGAAUAUUGGACAAUGGGCGCAAGCCUGAUCCAGCCAUGCCGCGUGCAGGAAGACGCAUCUAUGGUGUGUAAACUGCUUUUGUACGGGAAGAAACACUCCCUCGUGAGGGAGCUUGACGGUACCGUAAGAAUAAGGAUCGGCUAACUCCGUGCCAGCAGCCGCGGUAAUACGGAGGAUCCAAGCGUUAUCCGGAAUCAUUGGGUUUAAAGGGUCCGUAGGCGGUUUAAUAAGUCAGUGGGGAAAGCCCAUCGCUCAACGAUGGAACGGCCAUUGAUACUGUUAGACUUGAAUUACAAGGAAGUAACUAGAAUAUGUAGUGUAGCGGUGAAAUGCUUAGAUAUUACAUGGAAUACCAAUUGCGAAGGCAGGUUACUACUUGUGGAUUGACGCUGAUGGACGAAAGCGUGGGGAGCGAACAGGAUUAGAAACCCGGGUAGUCC
rnacentral:rRNA from 1 species